rnacentral:rRNA from 1 species
GAUGAACGCUAGCGGCAGGCUUAACACAUGCAAGUCGAGGGGCAGCGCGGGAUAGCAAUAUCCUGGCGGCGACCGGCGGAAGGGUGCGUAACGCGUGAGCGACAUGCCCGUUGCCCGGGGACAACCGGUGGAAACGCCGACUAAUCCCCGAUGGGAUAUUGUGCCGCAUGGCACGAUAUUGAAAGUUACGGCGGCGACGGAUUGGCUCGCGUCCGAUUCGCUUGUUGGCGGGGUAACGGCCCACCAAGGCUGCGAUCGGUAGGGGCUCUGAGAGGAAGGCCCCCCGCAAUGGGAAUGAGACACGGCCCGUACUCCUACGGGAGGAGGCAGUGAGGAAUAUUAGUCAAUGGGAGGAAGGCUGAACCAGCCAUGCCGCGUGCGAGAAGGAGGCCCUAUGGGCUGUGAACCGCUUUUGCCUGGGGGCAAUAAGGGCGUCGCGCACGUCCGAUGAGAGUACCAGGCGAAUAAGCAUCGGCUAACUCCGUG